rnacentral:rRNA from 1 species
GAGGAAUAUUGGUCAAUGGAGGCAACUCUGAACCAGCCAUGCCGCGUGAAGGAUGAAGGUCCUCUGGAUUGUAAACUUCUUUUAUAGAAGAAGAAACCCCAGUAUUCUUAUUGGGUUGACGGUACUCUAUGAAUAAGCACCGGCUAACUCCGUGCCAGCAGCCGCGGUAAUACGGAGGGUGCAAGCGUUAUCCGGAUUCACUGGGUUUAAAGGGAGCGUAGGUGGGUCGGUAAGUCAGUGGUGAAAUCCCCGAGCUUAACUUGGGAACUACCAUUGAUACUAUCGAUCUUGAAUUCUGUGGAGGUAAGCGGAAUAUAUCAUGUAGCGGUGAAAUGCUUAGAUAUGAUAUAGAACACCAAUAGCGAAGGCAGCUUACUACGCAGACAUUGACACUGAGGCUCGAAAGCGUGGGGAUCAAAC